CACGUAGGGGGCAAGCGUUGUCCGGAAUUAUUGGGCGUAAAGAGCUCGUAGGCGGUCUGUCGCGUCUGCUGUGAAAACUCGGGGCUUAACCCCGGGCCUGCAGUGGGUACGGGCAGACUAGAGUGCGGUAGGGGAGACUGGAAUUCCUGGUGUAGCGGUGAAAUGCGCAGAUAUCAGGAGGAACACCGGUGGCGAAGGCGGGUCUCUGGGCCGUAACUGACGCUGAGGAGCGAAAGCGUGGGGAGCGAACAGG
rnacentral:rRNA from 1 species